UACGUAGGGUGCGAGCGUUGUCCGGAAUUACUGGGCGUAAAGAGCUCGUAGGUGGUUUGUCGCGUUGUCCGUGAAAACUCACAACUCAAUUGUGGGCGUGCGGGCGAUACGGGCAGACUGGAGUACUGCAGGGGAGACUGGAAUUCCUGGUGUAGCGGUGAAAUGCGCAGAUAUCAGGAGGAACACCUAUGGCGAAGGCAGCUCUCUGGGACGGUACUGACGCUGAGACGCGAAAGCGUGGGGAGCGAACAGG
rnacentral:rRNA from 1 species